rnacentral:lncRNA from 1 species
AGGUCUGUCUGUCCGUUGGGGAUAGAGGUUGACAUAUAUAGGAGUCUCCUUAACAACAAGUAGUAAUGCUAUUCCUUUACCCUGUCAGAGCACUUUGAAAAAGUGGUCUGUGGUAUGUGGAAAGCUGAUGUUGCGUGUGAAGAUUACAGACAGCUUUAUCCAAGGAGAUCCGGCUCUUGUGGUUGGGAAAGUGUUGCCUCUUCGGUUUUCGAACAAGCAAUCCUAUCAGGGAUCUGGCUC